UACGUAGGCAGCGAGCGUUGUUCGGAGUUACUGGGCGUAAAGGGUGUGUAGGCGGUUUUCUAAGUUUGGUGUGAAAUCUCCCGCUCAACCGGGAGGGUGCGCCGAAAACUGGGAGACUAGAGUGCGGGAUGGGAGAGUAGAAUUCCGUGGUGUAGCGGUGAAAUGCGUAGAUAUCAGGAGGAAUACCGGUGGUGUAGACGGCUCUCUGGACCGCAACUGACGCUGAGACACGAAACGUGGGUAGCAAACAGG
rnacentral:rRNA from 1 species